rnacentral:rRNA from 1 species
GUCGUAACAAGGUCUCCGUAGGUGAACCUGCGGAGGGAUCAUUACACAAAUAUGAAGGCGGGCUGGAACCUCUCGGGGUUACAGCCUUGCUGAAUUAUUCACCCUUGUCUUUUGCGUACUUCUUGUUUCCUUGGUGGGUUCGCCCACCACUAGGACAAACAUAAACCUUUUGUAAUUGCAAUCAGCGUCAGUAACAAAUUAAUAAUUACAACUUUCAACAACGGAUCUCUUGGUUCUGGCACCGAUGAAGAACGCAGCGAAAUGCGAUAAGUAGUGUGAAUUGCAGAAUUCAGUGAAUCAUCGAAUCUUUGAACGCACGUUGCGCCCUUUGGUAUUCCAAAGGGCAUGCCUGUUCGAGCGUCAUUUGUACCCUCAAGCUUUGCUUGGUGUUGGGCGUCUUGUCUCUAGCUUUGCUGGAGACUCGCCUUAAAGUAAUUGGCAGCCGGCCUACUGGUUUCGGAGCGCAGCACAAGUCGCACUCUCUAUCAGCAAAGGUCUAGCAUCCAUUAAGCCUUUUUUUCAACUUUUGACCUCGGAUCAGGUAGGGAUACCCGCUGAACUUAAGCAUAUCA